AACCAGGAUUCCCUUAGUAACGGCGAGUGAAGAGGGAAAAGCCCAGCACCGAAGCCUGUGGUCAUUUGACCCCUAGGCAAUGUGGUGUUUAGGUCAGCCCGCGGAGAUACUGCUCCACCCUAAGUCCUAUAAUGAGUAAGGUUACUCGGACGUGGCCCAAUGAGGGUGAAAGGCCCGUGGGGGUGGAGACUCAGAUUGGCCAGUAUCUUCCUGUGCAGACCUUGGAGUCGGGUUGUUUGAGAAUGCAGCCCAAAGUGGGUGGUAAACUCCAUCCAAGGCUAAAUACUAACACGAGUCCGAUAGCGAACAAGUACCGUGAGGGAAAGUUGAAAAGUACUUUGAAGAGAGAGUAAACAGUACGUGAAACCGCUCAGAGGUAAACGGGUGGAGUUGAACUGCAAGCUCUGAGGAUUAAGCUGGUGAGUAUGGCAUGAGCUGGGUCAUAUUGGUUGUGAGUCUGAGUCUGCUUAGCCGCAGGUUCUCGCCUUCUGGCGGGAAUGCGCGUAUCACUUGUCAAGUGUUGUGCGCUCAGUCUCCUUCGAACCUGCUCGCCAGUGCACUUUCUCAGAGUGUUCACCACGACCGACGUCGCCGUCUGGCUGUUGCAGUUAAACCGGCCAUGUAGAGUCUUCGUGACUUUUCACGGUUCGGGAUGGCAGGUAGCCUGUUGUGUACUUUUGUGCCUUCAGGUGUAAUAGCUGACUGCAUCGGUCCUGUGCGGCACGUCGGAGACGGCGGCUUGUUGUGUGUGCAGACGUGCUGUUGCCCCGACGGGUUCGAGUCUGGUUGCCUUGUUGCCUGUGAAUGCAGGCCGGGUGAUGGCUUGUUGCUGUUCGGUGCACAGUUGCGUUUGUGGCACUUUGACAGGGCCAACAGUCUGUGGUGUAGUGGUAGACUAUCCACCUGACCCGUCUUGAAACACGGACCAAGGAGAGUAACAUGUGCGCGAGUCAUUGGGCGUUACGAAACCCAAAGGCGCAGUGAAAGUAAAGGUUCGGCUUGUCCGAGCUGAGGUGAGAUCCUGUCGUUUCUCACGCGCGGUACUACCAAGCAUCGAGCGGCAGGCGCAUCACCGGCCCGUCCCAUGGCGUGGCAGCCUCGUGCCAGCUUAUCGCCGGGGCGGAGCAUGAGCGUACAUGUUGAGACCCGAAAGAUGGUGAACUAUGCUUGCGCAGGUUGAAGCCAGAGGAAACUCUGGUGGAGGACCGCAGCGAUUCUGACGUGCAAAUCGAUCGUCAAACGUGAGUAUAGGGGCGAAAGA
rnacentral:rRNA from 1 species